ACGCCGGCCGCGCGUGCCUUGUCAUGGGAUCUCGAGCGGACGAUUCACAAGCUUGCUUUUGGAUCGUUAGCGGCGGACGGGUGAGUAACACGUGGGCAACCUGCCCUGUAGACGGGGAUAACACCGAGAAAUCGGUGCUAAUACCGGAUAACACGAAAGGUCGCAUGGUCUUUCGUUGAAAGACGGCGCAAGCUGUCGCUACAGGAUGGGCCCGCGGCGCAUUAGCUAGUUGGUGAGGUAACGGCUCACCAAGGCGACGAUGCGUAGCCGACCUGAGAGGGUGAUCGGCCACACUGGGACUGAGACACGGGCCCAGACUCCUACGGGAGGCAGCAGUAGGGAAUCUUCCGCAAUGGACGAAAGUCUGACGGAGCAACGCCGCGUGAGCGAAUAAGGCCUUCGGGUCGUAAAGCUCUGUUGUUAGGGAAGAACAAGUACCGCAGUCCUGGUGGUACUUUGACGGAACCUAACGAGUAACCAUGGUUAAUUUACUUCCCUACAACCAGCUUUAAAUCAGUUCUGGUACUCCUUUUACCCGGAUUUAUUUGGU
rnacentral:rRNA from 1 species